GACGAACGCUGGCGGCGUGCCUAAUACAUGCAAGUAGGACGCAGUUGCGAACGGGUGAGUAACGCGCAGGUAACUCUCUAUUAGAGGGGGAUAACUAAUGGAAACGCUAGCUAAUACAGCAUACUCGUAGAUGGACCUGCCUUGUAUUAGCUAGUAGGUAGGGUAAUGGCCUAACUAGGCAACGAUACAUAGCCGACCUGAGAGGGUGAUCGGCCAAACUGGGGCGGGAGCAAGGCCCCGAAUCCGACGGGAGGCACCAGUAGGGAAUCGUCCGGAAUGGGGGGAACCCUGACCUGGCAACGCCGCGUGAGGGAAGAAGGUUUUCGGAUCGUAAAGCUCUGUUGUUAAGGAAGCGGUACUUAACCAGAAAGGGACGGCUAACUACGUGCCAGCAGCCGCGGUAAUUC
rnacentral:rRNA from 1 species